CAAUGUUUUACCACUUAUUUCAAAUGCCACUUCUAGCCAAUCCAAACUAUGAAUGUAUUUUUGCCUCACAUUUCAUUCUAUGUGUUUCUUCUUGUUCACCUAAUACCAUCAAGUGCUCAUUAUUGGGUCUUCCAGUGGAGCCCAGACAAUAUUCUGGUUGCUAAAAAGAAGGUCAAUGAGGUCAGUGGUAACCCAGAGGUUAUCACAUAUAUGGGGUCUUUUAUAGAUAACAAAAAGGAAGUCUUGCUUCUUCCAUUUUUUAUUUUUUGGAGAGGCUAUUAAUACAAGGGAAUCUGGGAUAAGGAAAUAGAAGGUGAUGGAAGAGAUGGCAUGGGGUAUGCUUUUCCAUCUGGCUUAGACAGAUAGUUUUAAUAUCCAAUGGAAAGAGGGAUAGAGCAAAGGAUAUAUAAAUUCUGUCUUCAUAAAGACUCUGAAUCUAGAGGCAUGAAUACUUCUUCCCUGAAGUUCAUAUGGUAGAUUGCAAAACAGAGUCAGCAGCACAGCCAUUCUACUCCAAAUCUUCACCCAAGUCCUAGUACAUCAUGGAAUAAUGCACCAUCGUUGACUGAUCAGAGUGUACUUGUCAGUCUUUCCUCCACAGCAUAUACAAGUAGUCAGAACUAGCUCUAAGCGUGAUGAUAAAGUUCUCUGUUUAGAAGGCUAAAAUUAAAUAAGAGAAGAUUUUCUUUCUGAGAAUUUGUUUUUUUUUUUUCCCCCUCCAUUGCUGCGACCCCUUCCCUGAGUGUCUAAAAAAUGAUACCGACAUGAUGGGGUGGAAUUGGAGAAGGCUCUGAGCUACAGACAUUAUUCACAAACCUGUUAAUUGCGCACCAGGAUUUUUGUUUAUUUUGGAUGCUGCAGCUACACUCUGGCUACUUAAGACUACGCACAGGGUACUACGGUUGUGUAACAAAUUAUCAUCAGAUUUAGUGGCUUAAAACAACAACCAUAUUAUGUUCACAAAUUCAGAGGAUCAAAAAUUGAGAAAGAAUACAGUGGGGACAGCUUGAUUUUGCUCCACAAUAUCUGGAUCAUCAGAUGUCAAGACUCAAGGGCUGGUGAUGACUCAGAUGGUUGUGGGCUAGAAGCAUCUGAAGGCACAUGCCCUCAUAUAUUUUGUGCCCACUCAUGGAGGACUCAAAAUCGGGGCUGCUUAGUGGGCCACCUACUUGCGGCAUUUCUGUUAGGCCUGGCUUCUGCAUAAUAUAGUGACCUCAGGGUAGUUGGAGCCCUAACUGUAAAUGUUUGAAUAAGUUAAGCUGGAAACUGCAUCAUCAUCUCUUCUGAUGAAGCCUCAGAAGUAAUGCAGCAGAAUAUCUGCUGCUUCUAUUGCUUACAAGAAAGUUACAAGACCACCAAAGCCUCACCAAAAUUAUUGUUAUGUUUCCUUGCAUAACUUUUUUUUUUCUAUUCUUUACAAGCGUAAGUCUCAAAGCAGUGGGGAUAUGCCCCAUAUCCAGUACAUGAGGGAAUUGAAAACCUUGUGACAUAAUUGCAAACGGGUGAGUGGUAGAAAGGAAAAAAUGAAAAAUAUAAUGAAGAUUACAACUCAGAGUCUUCAUUUAGUUUGGUGUUUCAUGAGGGCUUGUUCAAAGAAGUUACAUUUAGGCUUAUAAAUAUGUGGUUUCUGAAAUUAUAAACUCUUGUCUUACACACCAUUAAUCCUGAAGAAAAUACAACUUUCUAAUAAGAAACAUCUCUCAACUAGACAAAACAUGCUGCAGACAGCUCCUUCUCAGAUGAGGCCAGUGACUCUCUGGUCACUAUUCAUUAGAAGAUGAUUUGACACAUAUGUGUAUUGGAACGACAUAUAAUCAAAUGCUCUCUAAAAGCCUUCAAGAGAGUCCCUGUCAAUAAAACAGACCUAAUUGGUUGGAGACAUUUGUUUUCAUUUACUACAUUAACAAUCAAAUGUGCUCUAACUCAUCAUCCCCAAAGGACACCAGUAAGAGUUGGCCCUGGCCUCCUAAGAUUACUUCUGAUUCUUGGCAGAAUAUAAUAGACUACAGAGCAU
rnacentral:lncRNA from 10 species